AAAAAAAAAGUGAAGAUCUAUUAUGAUUUCCUAUGUCGUCGUCUUCUUCCACGAAUCGGAGAGGGAGAGUUGAUGCUUCUGGUGGCCUGGUAGGGGCUCCAAUUUCCACAGCCAAACCAUUCAAUUCAAGGAAACUUCCGACUCCGUUGACUCUUCUCCGUCUCCUCUUCUCUCCCUAACUGCAAUCCUAUUUUCUCUCUCUCUCUCUCUCUCUCUCUCCCCCUCUCGCGCGCGCUCUUAUAAUCACUACAGCAUUCUCCAAUGGCUUCUCCUGAGGCGGAAGCCACUUGCGAGACCGUCGAAGUAGUGGAAGCCGGAGAACCCAAGCACGCAACCCCAAAUGGUUCCGACAGCCGAAAAGCCCGCGGGAGGCGCAGGCCCAGGCGCAGCUCGUACUGCCUGCCCAAUCUCGCUUGCCUGAGAUCGGAACCUGACGGGACCGGGAGCUUCGACAUUGAGGUCGUGAAGGUCGACGGUGAGCGGCCCCACCCCUCUCACCUGGUCGUCAUGGUGAACGGUCUGAUUGGCAGUGCUCAGAACUGGAGAUUUGCUGCGAGGCAGUUCAUGAAGAAGUAUCCGCGAGAUAUCAUCGUUCACUGCAGCGACUGUAAUCCUUCAAUGUCAACAUUUGAUGGUGUUGAUGUAAUGGGAGGGAGAGUAGCUGAAGAGGUUAAAUCGAUUGUAAAGGAUCAUCCCUAUCUUCAAAAAAUUUCAUUCAUCGGCCACUCAUUAGGUGGUCUGGUUUCAAGAUAUGCGAUUGCUAGGCUUUAUACACGGGAUCGUUCAAAUAGUGAUGAGUCUGGAAGCCAUUGCCGGGAAGACAAAUUCGAACAUAAAAUAGCUGGACUGGAGCCCGUGAAUUUUAUAACAUCUGCAACUCCACACCUUGGUUCUAGAGGUCAUAAACAGGUGCCAGUAUUUUGUGGCUUUCAGACAUUGGAAAAGCUGGCAGCUCACACAUCAUGGGUUUUAGGUAGAACCGGUAAACAUCUGUUUUUGACUGAUUGUGAUGGUGGGAAACCUCCUCUUCUUCUUCAGAUGGUCCAGGAUACUGACAAUCUCAAAUUUAUAUCUGCUUUACAAUCCUUCAAGUGUAGAGUUGCUUAUGCAAAUGCAAGUUUCGACCACCUUGUGGGAUGGAGCACAUCAUCUCUUCGGCGUCGGCAUGAGCUCCCAAAGCGGGACCAUCUAUCAGGACACCAGAAUUAUCCACAUAUCAUAAAUGUUGAAGCAGCAAAAAAUGCUAGUCCGGAACUAGAAGUUUCAUCAGAGAAUAAAGCUGGUGGAGGGGACAUCACUGACAUGGAAGGUUCACUUGUUGCUAAUAAAGGAAAUGCUCAGACAUCUGACUAGACUGAGCUGGGAGAGGAUAGACGUCAGCUUCAGCGGAAGUAAACAGCGAUUCUUGGCUCACAACACCAUUCAGGUGAAGACUUACUGUAUUAACUCGGAUGGUGCCGAUGUAAUCCAGCACAUGAUUGAUCAUUUUCAGUUAUAAAAAGGAUUCCAAGAAACCAUCUUCUUCAAGUCUCAAGUUUUAGCGACUAAGAGACGACCAUCCAUUUAGAUAUAUUGGGAGAUGGAGGAAGUGUGGUGAUCCCUUUGCAAAUAUAUAUAAAAAUAAGCUCAAAUUCUACCAGCAA